UACAGAGGGUGCGAGCGUUAAUCGGAAUUACUGGGCGUAAAGCGCGCGUAGGCGGCUUUGCAAGUCGGGUGUGAAAUCCCCAGGCUUAACCUGGGAACUGCAUUCGAGACUGCAUUGCUAGAGUAUGGGAGAGGGAAGUGGAAUUUCCGGUGUAGCGGUGAAAUGCGUAGAUAUCGGAAGGAACAUCAGUGGCGAAAGCGACGCGCUGGACCUCUUCUGACGCUGAGGCGCGAAAGCCAGGGGAGCAAACGGG
rnacentral:rRNA from 1 species